GGGUCCUGGGCUGACCUGUCUCAUGUUGUCCUCAGAGCCUAGCUGUACACCGUGAUACUAACUUCCCAAGUCAUAAAUCAGACAACUUCAUUGCUCCAUGCGGUGCAUGCAGACAAGUCAUGAGAGAGGUUCACCAAUGGUCUAUCUUCUACUGUUCAUAAUUAUACGUGCUCUUGCCUCAGCACAAAGAAAGGAGGAUUAGUGGCGAUGAUCUACCCGAACCUGAAAGCCACAGGUAUCUGAAAAUACAGUGCAAUUCAAAAUGGAUUAAGAGUGUUAUUUGAAACUGAAUAAUGUGCAGGGUUUCAGGGGAAUGGCAGUAAGUGAAUUGCUCUUUCAGUGAAGGGACACAGACAAUGGGCUGAAUGGCUGUGUCCUGCACCAUAACAAUUUUGUGAUUCUAAUAAAUUAACACCUUGGUGAGAGGUGGUAACAGUGAUUGAUUUGAUACUUUAUGAUUUAAUAUUAAAAGGCAACAUGAGCAUUCA